AUUGAACGCUGGCGGCAGGCUUAACACAUGCAAGUCGAGCGAGCGGCGGACGGGUGAGCAAUGUCUGGGAAACUGCCUGAUGGAGUGGGAUAACUCCUGGAAACGGUAGCUAAUACCGCACACCUUCAGAUGUGCCCAGAUGGGACUAGCUAGUAGGUGGGGUAAUGGCUCACCUAGGCGACGAUCCCUAGCUGGUCUGAGAGGAGGACCAGCCACACUGGAACUGAGACACGGUCCAGACUCCUACGGGAGGCAGCAGUAGGGAAUAUUGCGCAAUGGGCGCAAGCCUGAUGCAGCCAUGCGGCGUGUGUGAAGAAGGCCUUCGGAUUGUAAAGCACUUUCAGCGGGGAAGCGUUACUCACAGAAGAAGCACCGGCUAACUCCGUGCCAGCAGCCGCGGUAAUAC
rnacentral:rRNA from 1 species